rnacentral:lncRNA from 1 species
UGGUUUCUUUCUUUUUUUUCCUUUUUAUUCAUAUGUUUGAAAUAGUUCAUAUACAAUCAGUUAUUCAUCAGAAGUACAACACUUCAUAAUUGAUGAUUAGCUUCACUAUGAAAACAGCCUUCUUUAACAAACUCACACAGAGCAACAACUCACAUCAUUCCAUGUAUGCACGAAGAAGAAGAAGAGUGAACUCAACACAUAGCCACUCUGUGUUUUGCAUGCAUGCGAAUCUCUAGGCUAUGAAGAGUUCCUCCAUGCACAGUGAAAAGCAAGAGAGCAUUUUCGUAUUUCCCAUUCUGGAAUGCACUCAUUUGGACCAGAGUUUGCUUGUCCUGUAUAUGCAUUUUGGAAAAAUGUUUAUUGGUAUGUUUUGAUGACUUGUUAAAGUUUUUGUUGGGUCUGGAUGAAGAUGACUCAUCCCAACAAAGGGUAGAGAUUUAGAGGGGUUGAUUUAGAUGGACUAAUUCAGGAUCUAUUCCUUUCCAAAUUCUAUAUUUAAUAGUAUUAAGUUAUAAAAGGAUUACAGUAUCCUAACUAAUCUCAUUCAAAUAUAUUAUUUUGCUAAUUAAUAAAGAAAACCAAAGAACUAUGAUGAUGAAUAAGAAGUGAGACAGUAAUAUCUAUUUUGCUAACUAAAAACAAGGUUUAUAUUUAUAUAACUAGUAACUUGUUUUGAAUUUACAUAUCAUAACUAUGAGAAUCAAAGAAUUUUAAAUACGUCACAAUUAGAACUUAUAAUUAUUUUCUGAACUAAAAAAGUAUCAGAUCUGGAACUAGAAGUCAAGGUUCAUCAAGGAAGAAGCAACAUUGUCUGAUCAAAGGAUUAGAUAUACAUUAAUUCAAUCAUAAAAGCAUAUUCUAAGAAAGAAAUGAAAAUCGUUGUCUGCUUUGCACUCUGCAGAAAAUUACCUGCCAGGGAGAUGAAAAGGCUAUGGUGUAUGAACAAAGGAUGAUGCUGACAAGUCUAAGAAGACUAGUCAAAUUAAACCAACCCCAAGCGUUUAAUAUGGGGC